UACGUAGGGGGCUAGCGUUGUCCGGAAUCAUUGGGCGUAAAGCGCGUGUAGGCGGCCCGGUAAGUCCGCUGUGAAAGUCGGGGGCUCAACCUUUGAAUGUCAGUGGAUACUGCCGGGCUAGAGUCCGGAAGAGGCGAGUGGAACUCCUGGUGUAGCGGUGGAAUGCGCAGAUAUCAGGAAGAACACCGAUGGCGAAGGCAGAUCUCUGGGCCGUAACUGACGCUGAGGAGCGAAAGCGUGGGGAGCGAACAGG
rnacentral:rRNA from 1 species